rnacentral:lncRNA from 10 species
UACAGUGAGGAUCGAGAGCAGGUGCGGGGGUUUGAGGCUGAGGAAGGGUUGAUGCUGGCAGCGGAUAUCAUGCGGGGGGAAGAUUUCACGCCUGCGGAGGAGUUCGUGCCCCAGGAGGAGCUGGGGGCUGCCAAGAAGCAGCUGGCCAACUGGCAAGAUGCCCAUUACAGGCGGCAGCUGAGGUGGAAGAUGCUCCAGAAAGAGCCCCAGCCGAGGACCUAAGAUGGGUAGAGAAAACACUUUCCCUCCUCUACAGCCCUCAGGUGGCGGGUAGCUCAAGGUAAUGGUGUCAACAGGCACAAGAACAAUGAUGGAAUGGAGUGAGACACCAGCAAUGCCUGCACCAGCCACUCAUGAGCAAUUAUUUACAAAUAUUUAUUGGGUUCCUCCUAUUCUUGCCACCGGGGAUACAGAAGGGAGGAGGGACUUGUCACGCUCCCAGUUUCCUGUUUUGCCCGAGAGGCAGACAAUAAACUGGCAAACAAAA